rnacentral:rRNA from 1 species
UACGGGGGGGGGCAAGCGUUGUUCGGAAUUACUGGGCGUAAAGCGCACGUAGGCGGCUUUGUAAGUUAGAGGUGAAAGCCCGGGGCUCAACCCCGGAAUUGCCUUUAAGACUGCAUCGCUAGAAUUGUGGAGAGGUAAGUGGAAUUCCGAGUGUAGAGGUGAAAUUCGUAGAUAUUCGGAAGAACACCAGUGGCGAAGGCGACUUACUGGACACAUAUUGACGCUGAGGUGCGAAAGCGUGGGGGAGCAAACAGG